GACGAACGCUGGCGGCGUGCCUAAUACAUGCAAGUAGAACGCUGAAGAGAGGAGCUUGCUCUUCUUGGAUGAGUUGCGAACGGGUGAGUAAUGCGUAGGUAACCUGCCUUGUAGCGGGGGAUAACUAUUGGAAACGAUAGCUAAUACCGCAUAACAAUGGAUGACACAUGUCAUUUAUUUGAAAGGGGCAAUUGCUCCACUACAAGAUGGACCUGCGUUGUAUUAGCUAGUAGGUGAGGUAAUGGCUCACCUAGGCGACGAUACAUAGCCGACCUGAGAGGGUGAUCGGCCACACUGGGACUGAGACACGGCCCAGACUCCUACGGGAGGCAGCAGUAGGGAAUCUUCGGCAAUGGGGGCAACCCUGACCGAGCAACGCCGCGUGAGUGAAGAAGGGUUUCGGAUCGUAAAGCUCUGUUGUAAGUCAAGAACGGGUGUGAGAGUGGAAAGUUCACACUGUGACGGUAGCUUACCAGAAAGGGACGGCUAACUACGUG
rnacentral:rRNA from 1 species